rnacentral:rRNA from 1 species
CAGAUUGAACGCUGGCGGCAGGCCUAACACAUGCAAGUCGAACGGCAGCACAGAAGAGCUUGCUCUUUGGGUGGCGAGUGGCGGACGGGUGAGUAAUGUCUGGGAAACUGCCCGAUGGAGGGGGAUAACUACUGGAAACGGUAGCUAAUACCGCAUAACGUCGCAAGACCAAAGUGGGGGACCUUCGGGCCUCACACCAUCGGAUGUGCCCAGAUGGGAUUAGCUAGUAGGUGGGGUAAUGGCUCACCUAGGCGACGAUCCCUAGCUGGUCUGAGAGGAUGACCAGCCACACUGGAACUGAGACACGGUCCAGACUCCUACGGGAGGCAGCAGUGGGGAAUAUUGCACAAUGGGCGCAAGCCUGAUGCAGCCAUGCCGCGUGUAUGAAGAAGGCCUUCGGGUUGUAAAGUACUUUCAGCGGGGAGGAAGGCGGUGAGGUUAAUAACCUCGCCGAUUGACGUUACCCGCAGAAGAAGCACCGGCUAACUCCGUGCCAGCAGCCGCGGUAAUACGGAGGGUGCAAGCGUUAAUCGGAAUUACUGGGCGUAAAGCGCACGCAGGCGGUCUGUUAAGUCAGAUGUGAAAUCCCCGGGCUUAACCUGGGAACUGCAUUUGAAACUGGCAGGCUUGAGUCUCGUAGAGGGGGGUAGAAUUCCAGGUGUAGCGGUGAAAUGCGUAGAGAUCUGGAGGAAUACCGGUGGCGAAGGCGG